rnacentral:rRNA from 1 species
CCUACGGGUGUGCUGCAGUGGGGAAUAUUGGACAAUGGGCGAAAGCCUGAUCCAGCCAUGCCGCGUGUGUGAAGAAGGCCUUCGGGUUGUAAAGCACUUUCAGUGGGGAAGAAAGCCUUGGGGCUAAUACCCUCGAGGAAGGACAUCACCCACAGAAGAAGCACCGGCUAACUCCGUGCCAGCAGCCGCGGUAAUACGGAGGGUGCGAGCGUUAAUCGGAAUUACUGGGCGUAAAGCGCGCGUAGGCGGUCUGAUAAGCCGGUUGUGAAAGCCCCGGGCUCAACCUGGGAACGGCAUCCGGAACUGUCAGGCUAGAGUGCAGGAGAGGAAGGUAGAAUUCCCGGUGUAGCGGUGAAAUGCGUAGAGAUCGGGAGGAAUACCAGUGGCGAAGGCGGCCUUCUGGACUGACACUGACGCUGAGGUGCGAAAGCGUGGGUAGCAAACAGGAUUAGAUACCCGUGUAGUC